GCGAGAUGGUGCUUCUUAAAAACUACAGCUCCUUAAAUUUUGCAGGUAUCAUCAAGAUAUUAAAAAAGUAUGACAAACAAACGGGUGGAUUACUGCGUGUACAUUUCACACAACUUGCUCUUCGUCAACCAUUUUUCACAACGGAACCUCUUACAAGAUUAGUCCACGAGUGUGAAGAGAAUCUAGACCUCCUCUUCCCUUUAGAAGCGGAAGUAGCUGAAUAUUCUAGUAAUA